rnacentral:rRNA from 1 species
AGUGAACGCUGGCGGCAGGUCUAACACAUGCAAGUCGAACGGCAGCACAAGAGAGCUUGCUCUCUGGGUGGCGAGUGGCGGACGGGUGAGGAAUGCAUCGGAAUCUGCCCAUUUGUGGGGGAUAACCUCGGGAAACCGGGACUAAUACCGCAUACGACCUACGGGUGGAAGCAGGGGAUCUUCGGACCUUGCGCAGAUGGAUGAGCCGAUGCCGGAUUAGCUAGUUGGAGGGGUAAAGGCCCACCAAGGCGACGAUCCGUAGCUGGUCUGAGAGGAUGAUCAGCCACCCUGGGACUGAGACACGGCCCAGACUCCUACGGGAGGCAGCAGUGGGGAAUAUUGGACAAUGGGCGCAAGCCUGAUCCAGCCAUGCCGCGUGAGUGAAGAAGGCCUUCGGGUUGUAAAGCACUUUUGUUGGGAAAGAAAAGCAGCCGGUUAAUACCCGGUUGUCAUGACGGUACCCAAAGAAUAAGCACCGGCUAACUUCGUG